AGUUGGGCACUCUAAGUUGACUGCCGGUGACAAACCGGAGGAAGGUGGGGAUGACGUCAAAUCAUCAUGCCCCUUAUGAUUUGGGCUACACACGUGCUACAAUGGACAAUACAAAGGGUAGCGAAACCGCGAGGUCAAGCAAAUCCCAUAAAGUUGUUCUCAGUUCGGAUUGUAGUCUGCAACUCGACUACAUGAAGCUGGAAUCGCUAGUAAUCGUAGAUCAGCAUGCUACGGUGAAUACGUUCCCGGGUCUUGUACACACCGCCCGUCACACCACGAGAGUUUGUAACACCCGAAGCCGGUGGAGUAACCUUUUAGGAGCUAGCCGUCGAAGGUGGGACAAAUGAUUGGGGUGAAGUCGUAACAAGGUAGCCGUAUCGGAAGGUGCGGCUGGAUCACCUCCUUUCUAAGGA
rnacentral:rRNA from 1 species